GUGCGUCUCCCGUAAGCCUACUCCCCUCCUGUAUAACGGCGACCGGGGCCUCGGGUCGGCCGUCGCCUGAUGCAAUCUUCUUCAACCUCACCAUUCAUCAAAAUCAUUCGCGUUUGGUACCUCAGCUUUCUGCAUGCCGUGCUGUAGGCAUCUUGAUUUCAACUUGUUAAUGAAGUCCCUUGCCCUACAAAGGGAAUUCUGUUAGAACUCUGGGUUUGAUAUGCAUGUUAUGAGCCUUGUAAUCAGAUAUAGCAGCUAAUAGUUUGGAUGAUCUUUCCAUGUCCCAUCAUACUUACUCUGUUCGUUGCUUCAUCUCUUAGGCUUCUUAACAUUUCAAAUCUUGCAACUUUAAUAUUCUAUGAACACUUUUGAUGCUCGUCUCUAAACCAUUUCUUUUAAUUUAAGGUGUUAUGGUGAAAAUUAUGUUAAACAUCCACAGGGAAGUAGAAGCUGCAAUAUAUGAGAAACAUAAGAUAUGUGAGCCCUUAUAUUCCUGAUGUUUGAGGACCAAGUACUUUUCCAAGAAAGCCCUACAUGGAGGUAAAGGGGACAAUAUGACCAUGAAACACACUUUUGAUGAUGAGGACAAAGUCAAAUGGUUAAAUUUCAUGGUUCUUUAUAAGUUUAUAUUUCAAAUUGAAUUUGGAUUUGACCACAGUUUUGUGGUCCUAUUUAGAUAGCCCUGUCCAAAAUCAUCUCUGACCCAAUUAAAUACCUGGAAGAUCAGUACUAGUCAGCACUGGAAGCAGAAACCACAAUGACAGUCAACAAUAAAUAAUCUUCCAAAAAAAGCUUUUAAUGGUGACUUGGAGGACAACGUGAUGAAGACAAAAGGGAAGUUAUAUUUAUGUGUUGUCGUGGUACUUAUUUUAUUGCCUUUGUGCUUAUGGCUUAUUGCAGCCAGGAUAGUAGGACACAGAAAGCUAUGAAAGGCGGCAGCUGUUAAAUUACUUGUCUUUCAUAUAAAAUGAUAUGAAACUGGACUAGUUUUGCAUGCAAAUGCCACUUUGAUGGACCAAGAAAGCUCCAUACAUCACUUGUUGAAAAUCUGGUUUGAAAUUUUAUGAAAAUGGUUGUCACAAAAACUAUUGAAUGCAUCAUUCUGAAUUUUGGUGUGCAGCUUGAAUUAGGUGGACUGCAUGAGCAGAACAAAAAUAUUAUUAUCGAGGAAAUGAAGGCCCCAAAGGAGCAUCUCAGGUGAAACCAGACAACUUUUAGUUCAAGUCUCAUGCAAGCUGGGUUAUUCUAGACAUGUGAGGCACAAUUAUACUCAGCUGCUAGAUUUUCAAGUUCCUUUAGGAGCUCAAGCUUUUUGUCCCUAAGCUUUAUAUUCUCAUGGAGGAUGUGAUGGCACUCUUUCAUCAUGUUGUUUACUUCGUGGAGGAGUUGGUGGUUCACUGAUUGGAAGUGAAUGACCAGUGACCACAACUGAUUGAAUUGUUUCUGCUUUCUCAUGCGCGAUCGUCGAGCAGACUCUCUGUUGGAUAUCAUCCUUCUCUUCCUCCUCUCUUCGAUGAGGCUUGAUUUGUCUUCAUCUUCCUCAUCUGCAGCUGAGUUAGUGUUAUAACAAGUGCUUGGAUAGCAAUCAGCAUACAUCCUGGAAUCAUAAGUGGAAAAAGAUCUGAAGAGACUGCUAAACUUGAAGGAUGAGAUGUCACUUGGAGCCAUACUAUAAUGGGCUUGGAAGGAAGGCAGGUUUGAAGGUGAAAGAUACCAAAUGCUGUCAACCUCAUCAUGGUGCAUGGUUGUAUCGUUUCAAAAAGACUGCAUAAGGUAAGAACAGCUUUGGGAGGAAGAGUUGUUACAAAGAAAGAAUUGAGGUGAGCAAUGGAAGCAUGAAAGAACAGGAUGUGGAGGUUAUUUAUAGUGUUAAAAGACCAAAGGGUGAGAGACCUACUUCAAGCAUUUCACACUUUGUUAAACAGGCAAUAAGAACACACAUCCAUGAGAUCACCAUCCAGCUUGUGGGAUACCAGGGAACGAGUGGCUCAGUUUUCAUGUUUGUGUUUUCCAAGCAUGUCCAGAGGAGCGUCUCCAUCAUGAUUGUCUGAUCAAGAUUGGACACUAGAGUGCAAAUGGAAUGGACCCCCAAUAGCAUCACAUCCACUACCAUUAAAUGAGGUGCUGGUUGUUUAACAAUGACAAGCAUUUCCCCUGAGGUGAGAACAGGAUAUUGACAAAGGUUUGCUGCAAGCAUGAAUCUGGAUCAUGUAUAAUUGAUGAAAGGAUUGUGGGCUUAAACCUUGGAACAUUGCAGCUGCAGGCGCUUAAUGAGAUGAGGAUAGAUAAAUUCUUGAAUGAGAGGGUAGAGUUCAUUUUACUGGAGGGUUGAUAGUUGGAGCAAGUGUUCGAGCAAGGUGAAAGAGGAUGAAAAUGAAAGAAGAUAUGCAAGGAAUGUUUGAUUGGUGUAUUUCUGUGACACUGGCUUUAUAUUUAUAUUAAGAUGAGGGGCAUAAUGGAAGUCAUUUCCCAGAAAAGUUGACAUAUUAUUUAUGCCACUGAAAUAAUCCAUAAAUACAGGCCCAUUUGGUCAAGGUAUAUCUGGAAGGAUGUCAUGGAACAUUUUGCUAAAAGCUCAAUUCUUUGGCAGACUUCCUCUGCUGCUUCUUGAAAGCUUUUUAGGAAGGAGGAGAUAAUGAUCAUCAAUCACAUAUUCAGGAACCUGGUGUAGCUUAAUGUCAUUCUUAUUCAUUUUGACAUUGCUGUCACCAGUACAUAAAACCAAAAUAUGAGUUUGCUACAAGAUUGCCUCCUUAGAAGAGAGAGAUGGAAAACUGGCAUAUGUGAGAGGGAUCAGGUUCCUACUCCAGCUUGCAAGCAACCCCAGCAGCAGAGGAAUGCAAAGGAACUCAGCACCCCAGUGACACAAUUCCUCAUGAAUUGACUCACUUAUGGCUUUUGAGUUCAGAGUUUGUGGCAUCAGAUUGCUGCAAAAUCCAUUCACAAAGAAUUUGAAGUGGUAGGUGUAUAAAUGAUCAUGAAUGUGAAAUUGUUCAAGACAAAAUAUGAUCAUAUGCAUCUCCUUCAAGUUUGAAAAUCCAUCAAACACUUUCCCAAACUAUUUUACAUUUGUAGUUCUCCAUUAUUCUGCUAGAUGUGAAAAUAGAGUGCUGUCAGAUAGGCUGAUUCCAGGAUGGAAUUGCACUA